ACAAUGCCGGGCUUUUUUAAGUCUGGCAAUUGGAAUGAGAACAAUUUAAAUCCCUUAUCGA
rnacentral:misc_RNA from 1 species